GUCUCUCUCUGUCUCAAAAAUAAAUAAAAACGUUUAAAAAAAAAUUUUUUUUUAAAAUAUGACAUUAGGUACAUGUAGUGAUUUUGCUUCUAAACCUCUGUUCUAAACAGAACAUGCCGGGGCAGUGACUUACGUCGAGACGGGACCGAGAAGCAGAGUUCUAGAUGUCUCCGAAAAUUACAAGAAAGUCCACGAUCCCGGGAGGGCUUGUGGAUCUUGAAAAGCUAGGGGUUUCACCCUAAUCAUGACCUGAGAGGUCUCUUCCCUCCCCUUCAAUUCCAGAAAUGUAUUUGAUGCUCCAGACAUACAUACCACAGACCCUGGACGUGAUGAGUCCUCUAUCCUGACGAAGCACACGUGGAAGGGUAUGACCCGUGCUUCCUCGGACCAGACAGUCAAAGGAAGAGACCCCCUCAAUACCCAGACAAAAAAAAGAACACUUGGAGAAAGAUCAACUUCACGUGCCCAAGCAACGCUUCAUCAACUUUGGAAUGUCACAAACGAUGUGAUUCUACAAGGCACCGGGAGACUGGCAGAAGGUUGCCAACUGUACCUUUUGCCAAAUGAAGUAAUAUUUUAAACAGCCCUGUCUGCAAUAGCUGUUAGUUGGUACAUGCGUCCCUCGGUCAAGACUGUGGCUCAAGAGUUUCGGUCCUGGGGUGCGUGGGUGGUGCAGUCAGUUGAGCGUCCGACGGUCAUGGGAUGGAGCAUGGUCAGCAUGGAGCCUGCUGGAGACUCUCUCUCUCUCUCUCUCUCUCUCUCUCUGCGCCCCUCUCCCCCGCGUGUGCUCUUUCCCUCUCUCAAAUAAAAUUAAA
rnacentral:lncRNA from 1 species